UACAGAGGGGGCAAGCGUUGUUCGGAAUUACUGGGCGUAAAGAGCUCGUAGGCGGCCAGUUGCGUCUGCUGUGAAAUCCCGGGGCUCAACCCCGGGCGUGCAGUGGAUACGGGCUGGCUAGAGGCAGGCAGGGGAGAACGGAAUUCCCGGUGUAGCGGUGAAAUGCGCAGAUAUCGGGAGGAACACCGGUGGCGAAGGCGGUUCUCUGGGCCUGUACUGACGCUGAGGAGCGAAAGCGUGGGGAGCGAACAGG
rnacentral:rRNA from 1 species